rnacentral:rRNA from 1 species
GCCUACAAUCUAGCCUACAAAUUAUAUAUACCACUAUUCUCAAAUAAUUUUGAAAUAAAACAUUUUAACUUUUUAGUAUAGGUGAUAGAAAAAUAUCUAAGCGCUUCAGAAAUAGUACCGCAAGGGAAAGAUGAAAUAAAAAUGAAACAAAACUAAAGCCCCUAAUAGCAGAGACCAAAACUCGUACCUU